rnacentral:ncRNA from 1 species
GCGCUCCGGAGAAAUCUGUUUAACGGGUGCCGAAGGUGCAAGGCGUGUAAAAAUGCCAAUCUCUCAGGCAAAAGGACGGAAGC